rnacentral:rRNA from 1 species
CACGUAGGGUGCGAGCGUUGUCCGGAAUUAUUGGGCGUAAAGAGCUCGUAGGCGGUGUGUCGCGUCGGCCGUGAAAACCUGCAGCUUAACUGUGGGCUUGCGGUCGAUACGGGCAUCACUGGAGUUCGGCAGGGGAGACUGGAAUUCCUGGUGUAGCGGUGAAAUGCGCAGAUAUCCGGAGGAACACCGGUGGCGAAGGCGGCUUCCUGGACCGACACUGACGCUGAGGAGCGAAAGCCAGGGGAGCGAAACGGG